GGCCUUGUGGCGCAACGGUAGCGCGUUCGACUCCAGUGAGGAUAUCGAAAGGUUAUCCGUUCAAAUCGGGUCAGGGUCA